GAGGGUAUAGCUUAGUGGUAGAGCACAUACUUAGCAGGCAUGAGGUCCUGGGUUCAAUCCCCAGUACCUUCA
rnacentral:tRNA from 1 species